rnacentral:rRNA from 1 species
CGGGAUUAUUGGGCGUAAGAGCUCGUAGGUGGUUGGUCACGUCUGCUGUGGAAACGCAACACUUAACGUUGCGCGUGCAGUGGGUACGGGCUGACUAGAGUGCAGUAGGGGAGUCUGGAAUUCCUGGUGUAGCGGUGAAAUGCGCAGAUAUCAGGAGGAACACCGGUGGCGAAGGCGGGACUCUGGGCUGUAACUGACACUGAGGAGCGAAAGCAUGGGGAGCGAACAGGAUUAGAUACCCUGGUAGUCCAUGCCGUAAACGUUGGGCACUAGGUGUGGGGGACAUUCCACGUUCUCCGCGCCGUAGCUAACGCAUUAAGUGCCCCGCCUGGGGAGUACGGUCGCAAGGCUAAAACUCAAAGGAAUUGACGGGGGCCCGCACAAGCGGCGGAGCAUGCGGAUUAAUUCGAUGCAACGCGAAGAACCUUACCAAGGCUUGACAUACACUGGACCGUUCUGGAAACAGUUCUUCUCUUUGGAGCUGGUGUACAGGUGGUGCAUGGUUGUCGUCAGCUCGUGUCGUGAGAUGUUGGGUUAAGUCCCGCAACGAGCGCAACCCUCGUUCUAUGUUGCCAGCACGUGAUGGUGGGAACUCAUAGGAGACUGCCGGGGUCAACUCGGAGGAAGGUGGGGAUGACGUCAAAUCAUCAUGCCCUUUAUGUCUUGGGCUUCACGCAUGCUACAAUGGCUGGUACAGAGAGAGGCGAACCCGUGAGGGUGAGCGAAUCCCUUAAAGCCAGUCUCAGUUCGGAUCGUAGUCUGCAAUUCGACUACGUGAAGUCGGAGUCGCUAGUAAUCGCAGAUCAGCAACGCUGCGGUGAAUACGUUUCCGGGCC